GACGAACGCUGGCGGCGUGCUUAACACAUGCAAGUCGAACGGAAAGGCCUUUUCGGUGUUACUUGCGUGGAGAACGAGCGGGUAACUCGUAGGUGAUCUGCCUUGCCCUCUGGUUUAAACCAGGUCAACUGAGCCUAAUUACGGAUAGGUCCGCACUUUUGUUGGUUUGGUGGAAUGGUUUUUCGGUGUCGGAUGAGACCGCGGCCUCUCCUCUUGUUGGUGGGGUUAUGGUCUACCAAUGCGGAGGCGGGGAGCCGGACUUAGAGGGUGGACGGGCACAAUUGGGCGUGGAUACGGCCCAGACUCCUACGGGGAGCAGCAGGGGGGAAUAUUGCAAAAUUGGGGCAAGCCUGAUGCAGCGACGCCGGGUGGGGGAUGAAGGCCUUCGGGUUGGAAACUCCUUUCGCCAGGGACGGAGCGGUUUGUGACGGUACCUGGAGAAGAAGCACCGGCUAACUACGUG
rnacentral:rRNA from 1 species